rnacentral:rRNA from 1 species
UAUUAUUAUCGAGGGUGUGACGGAGAAGGAUAGUGUGUGCUAGCGAUUGGAAAUGCUAGUCUAAGCGUUUAGGGAGUCACAGUAGGCAAAUCCGCUGUAAUAAUUCUAAGGCGUGAUGGGGAAGGUCAUUAAGACCGAAGUACAUGAUUCCAUGCUUCCAAGAAAAGCAUCUAGAGAGAGAAGUAGUGCCCGUACCGCAAACCGACACAGGUAGAUGAGGAGAGAAUCCUAAGGCCGGCGGAAGAAUUGCAGUUAAGGAACUAGGCAGAUUGACCCCGUAAGUUCGCGAGAAGGGGUGCCUGCGAGAGCAGGCCGCAGAGAAUAGGCCCAAGCAACUGUUUAGCAAAAACACAGGUCUCUGCUAAAGCGUAAGCUGAUGUAUAGGGGCUGACGCCUGCCCGGUGCUGGAAGGUUAAGGGGAACACUUAGCGCAAGCGAAGGUGUGAACUUAAGCCCCAGUAAACGGCGGCCGUAACAAUAACGGUCCUAAGGUAGCGAAAUUCCUUGUCAGGUAAGUUCUGACCCGCACGAAUGGCGUAAUGACUUGGGCACUGUCUCAACUGCAAAUCCGGCGAAGUUGUAGUGCGAGUGAAGAUGCUCGCUACCCGCGAUUGGACGGAAAGACCCCGUAGAGCUUUACUGUAGCUUAGCAUUGAAUUCCGGUAUUGUCUGUACAGGAUAGGUGGGAGACUAGGAAACUAGGGCGUCAGCCUUAGUGGAGUCAACCUUGGGAUACCACCCUGACAGUACUGGGGUUCUAACAGGACGCCAUGAAGCUGGUGACUGGACAUUGUUAGGUGGGCAGUUUGACUGGGGCGGUCGCCUCCUAAAAAGUAACGGAGGCGCCCAAAGGUUCCCUCAGAACGGUCGGAAAUCGUUCGUAGAGUGCAAAGGCAGAAGGGAGCGUGACUGCGAGACCUACAAGUCGAGCAGGGACGAAAGUCGGGCUUAGUGAUCCGGUGGUACCUCGUGGGAGGGCCAUCGCUCAACGGAUAAAAGCUACCUCGGGGAUAACAGGCUGAUCUCCCCCAAGAGUCCACAUCGACGGGGAGGUUUGGCACCUCGAUGUCGGCUCGUCGCAUCCUGGGGCUGUAGUAGGUCCCAAGGGUUGGGCUGUUCGCCCAUUAAAGCGGCACGCGAGCUGGGUUCAGAACGUCGUGAGACAGUUCGGUCCCUAUCCGUCGCGGGCGUAGGAAAUUUGAGAGGAGCUGUCCUUAGUACGAGAGGACCGGGAUGGACUGACCUCUGGUGCACCAGUUGUUCUGCCAAGAGCAUGGCUGGGUAGCUAAGUCGGGAAGGGAUAAACGCUGAAAGCAUCUAAGCGUGAAGCCCCCCUCAAGAUGAGAUUUCCCAUAGCAUAAGCUAGUAAGACCCCUUGAAGAACACAAGGUUGAUAGGUCAGAGGUGGAAGUGCGGUAACGUAUGUAGCUGACUGAUACUAAUAGGUCGAGGGCUUGACU